rnacentral:rRNA from 1 species
UACGUAGGGACCGAGCGUUGUCCGGAAUCAUUGGGCGUAAAGAGCGUGUAGGCGGCCCUUUAAGUCCUGCGUGAAAUCCUGCGGCUCAACCGCAGACGGUCGUGGGAAACUGGAGGGCUAGAGUGCGGGAGAGGAAAGUGGAAUUCCUGGUGUAGCGGUGAAAUGCGUAGAUAUCAGGAGGAACACCGGUGGUGUAGACGGCUUUCUGGACCGUAACUGACGCUGAGACACGAAAGCGUGGGUAGCAAACAGG